rnacentral:pre_miRNA from 1 species
AAUGUACUCCCUCCGUUCGGAAUUACUUGUCACAGAAAUGGAUGUAUCUAGACGUAUUUUAGUUCUAGAUACAUCCAUUUCCGAGACAAGUAAUUCCGAACGGAGGGAGUAAGAU